UACAGAGACUGCAAGCGUUGUUCGGAUUUACUGGGCGUAAAGGGCGCGUAGGCGGCCAGCGCAAGUCAGUCGUGAAAUCUCCGGGCUUAACUCGGAAAGGUCGACUGAUACUGCGGGGCUAGAGUGCGGAGGGGGCAACUGGAAUUCUCGGUGUAGCGGUGAAAUGCGUAGAUAUCGAGGGGAACACCUGCGGCGAAGGCGGGUUGCUGGGCCGACACUGACGCUGAUGCGCGAAAGCCAGGGGAGCGAACGGG
rnacentral:rRNA from 1 species